rnacentral:lncRNA from 1 species
AAACAAAAACUGCCAGACUAAUGGACGCCCUGAACAAGAACAACCAACUUUCUCUGCUAGACACAUGACGGGGAAGACUGUCAAAGCAAAAAGCUCCAUUCCUGCCUCCAAUGACACCUAUCUUGAAAAAGAAAAGUACUUUCCAUUCAGUCCUCUAGAUUAUGAGAAUUUGACCUGCCUGAAGAGCAUCAGACUGUACACCCACCUUGAAUUAAGUACCUUUCAUGAUUCUUGCUGAGAAGAGAGAACUUGAACAGCUGUUACAGGUAAGCCCCCGUUUGCCUAUGAAGAUGUUCUCUCUACUGUGGGGAUCUAAUCAGUCACAGUCUCCCUCAAGCAUACUAUAGACCCAGGAUGUUCAAUUGCCACCUGUUUGCUCUAGCAUGGAUAU